CGGACGGGUGAGUAAUGUCUGGGAAACUGCCCGAUGGAGGGGGAUAACUACUGGAAACGGUAGCUAAUACCGCAUAACGUCGCAAGACCAAAGAGGGGGACCUUAGGGCCUCUUGCCAUCGGAUGUGCCCAGAUGGGAUUAGCUAGUAGGUGGGGUAACGGCUCACCUAGGCGACGAUCCCUAGCUGGUCUGAGAGGAUGACUAGCCACACUGGAACUGAGACACGGUCCAG
rnacentral:rRNA from 1 species